UUGCUCACUUUGGCAGCACAUAUAUUAAAAAUGAAAUGAUACAGAGAAUGGUAGAAUGUCCCUGCACAAGGAUGGCACAUAAAUUCAUGAAGUGUUUCAUAUAUUU